AGUGAACGCUGGCGGUAUACCUAACACAUGCAAGUCGAACGGCAGCACAGUAAGAUCUUGCUCUUACGGGUGGCGAGUGGCGGACGGGUGAGGAAUACAUCAGCAUCUACUUUUUCGUGGGUGAUAACGUAGGGAAACUUAUGCUAAUACCGCAUACUACCUACGGGUGAAAGCAGGGGAUCUUCGGACCUUGCGCGAUUGAAUUAGCCGAUGUCGGAUUAGCUAGUUGGCUGGGUAAAGGCCCACCAAGGCCACGAUCCGUAGCUGGUCUGAGAGGAUGAUCAGCCACACUGGAACUGAGACACGGUCCAGACUCCUACGGGAGGCAGCAGUGGGGAAUAUUGGACAAUGGGCGAAAGCCUGAUCCAGCCAUACCGCGUGGGUGAAGAAGGCCUUCGGGUUGUAAAGCCCUUUUGUUGGGAAAGAAAAGCAGCAGGUUAAUACGCCGCUGUUCUGACGGUACCCAAAGAAUAAGCACCGGCUAACUUCGUG
rnacentral:rRNA from 1 species